CGUACGAUACGUAGUUUGAUCAUGGCUCAGAGCGAACGCUAGCGGCGGGCUUAACACAUGCAAGUCGAGCGGAGAGCUUCGGCUCUCAGCGGCGAACGGGUGAGUAACACGUAGGUCACGUACCCUUUGAUGGGGAAUAACAUAGGGAAACCUGGGCUAAUACCGCAUAUGUCCUUCGGGAUGAAAGCCUUCGGGCGUCAGAGGAUCGGCCUGCGGCCCAUUAUUUAAUCCUAGUUGGUAGGGUAAUGGCCUACCAAGGGUACGAUGGGUAGCUGGUCUGAGAGGAUGAUCAGCCACACUGGAACUGAGACACGGUUCAGGCUCCUACGGGAGGCAGCAGUGGGGAAUAUUGGACAAUGGGCGAAAGCCUGAUCCAGCCACGCCGCGUGGGUGAUGAAGGCCUUCGGGUUGUAAAGCCCUGUCGGGAGGGACGAAUCAAUGACGGUACCUCCCAAGAAAGCACCGGCUAACUCCGUG
rnacentral:rRNA from 1 species